AUUGAACGCUGGCGGCAUGCUUUACACAUGCAAGUCGAACGGUAACAGGCCUUCGGGUGCUGACGAGUGGCGAACGGGUGAGUAAUGCAUCGGAACGUACCCAGAGGUGGGGGAUAACGCAGCGAAAGCUGUGCUAAUACUGCAUGUGAUCUGAGGAUGAAAGCGGGGGACCGAGCAGCAAUGUUUGGCCUCGCGCCUUUGGAGCGGCCGAUGUCGGAUUAGCUAGUUGGUGGGGUAAAGGCCUACCAAGGCGACGAUCCGUAGCUGGUCUGAGAGGAAGACCAGCCACACUGGGACUGAGACACGGCCCAGACUCCUACGGGAGGCAGCAGUGGGGAAUUUUGGACAAUGGGCGCAAGCCUGAUCCAGCAAUGCCGCGUGCGGGAAGAAGGCCUUCGGGUUGUAAACCGCUUUUGGCAGGAACGAAACGGUGUCCGCUAAUACCGGGCGCUAAUGACGGUACCUGCAGAAUAAGCACCGGCUAACUACGUG
rnacentral:rRNA from 1 species